rnacentral:rRNA from 1 species
UACGUAGGGUGCGAGCGUUAAUCGGAAUUACUGGGCGUAGAGCGUGCGCAGGCGGCUUUGCAAGACAGAUGUGAAAUCCCCGGGCUCAACCUGGGAACUGCAUUUGUGACUGUAUAGCUAGAGUACGGUAGAGGGGGAUGGAAUUCCGCGUGUAGCAGUGAAAUGCGUAGAUAUGCGGAGGAACACCGAUGGCGAAGGCAAUCCCCUGGACCUGUACUGACGCUCAUGCACGAAAGCGUGGGGAGCAAACAGG